UAAAAUGAAUUUUGGCCACCCAGAACCUGCCCAAUCUCAUCUGAUCUCGGAAGCUAAGCAGAGUAAGCCUGGUUAGUACUUGGAUGGGAGAAUGUAUACUUAAUCACUCUCAUUAAGAGUAUACUAUGGUGUUUUAA
ensembl:rRNA 5S_rRNA 5S ribosomal RNA